AUUGAACGCUGGCGGCAGGCCUAACACAUGCAAGUCGAGCGGAUGAAGGGAGCUUGCUCCUGGCUUCAGCGGCGGACGGGUGAGUAAUGCCUAGGAAUCUGCCUGGUAGUGGGGGAUAACGUCCGGAAACGGGCGCUAAUACCGCAUACGUCCUGAGGGAGAAAGUGGGGGAUCUUCGGACCUCACGCUAUCUGAUGAGCCUAGGUCGGAUUAGCUAGUUGGUGGGGUAAAGGCCUACCAAGGCGACGAUCCGUAACUGGUCUGAGAGGAUGAUCAGUCACACUGGAACUGAGACACGGUCCAGACUCCUACGGGAGGCAGCAGUGGGGAAUAUUGGACAAUGGGCGAAAGCCUGAUCCAGCCAUGCCGCGUGUGUGAAGAAGGUCUUCGGAUUGUAAAGCACUUUAAGUUGGGAGGAAGGGCAGUAAGUUAAUACCUUGCUGUUUUGACGUUACCAACAGAAUAAGCACCGGCUAACUUCGUG
rnacentral:rRNA from 1 species